AGAAUAUUUUUGGAUAGAUGAGUAUUCUUUAAGAAUUUUUCAUCAAUAUGUUGUAUUUUUAAAUAAUUUUCUUAAAAACUGCUUCAUUUUUUAGAGAAAUGCUGUAGAUUUGGGUUUGUGAUAUAGAAAUUCGGAUAACAAUAAUAUUUGUAGAUAGAUGAGUAUUGUUUCUGAGUUUUUCAUCAAUAGGUUGUAUUUUUAAAUAAUUUUCUUAAAAACUGAUAUUUUUGGAAAGUUUUCAUAUUUUAGAGAAAUACUGUAGAUUAGGGUUUGUGAUUUAGAAAUUAGAGAGUUUAUGGUUAUAGAUAGAUAUGGUUUUAGAAUUUUUGAUAUAGAAAUUCGAUUAACAAUAAUAUUUGUGGAUAGAUGAGUUUCUUUCUGAGUUUUUCAUCAAUAUGUUGUAUUUUUAAAUAAUUUUCUUAAAAAUUGUUAUUUUGGAAAGUUUUCAUUUUUUAGAGAAAUACUGUAGAUUUGAGUUUAUGAUUUAGAAAUUAGGAUAAUAACAAUAUUUGUGGAUUGAUGAAUAUUCUUUCUGAAUUUUUCAUCAAUAUGUUGUAUUUUUAAAUAAUUUUCUUAAAAACUGCUAUUUUUGGAAAGUUUUAAGUUUUUUUGAAAAAUAUUGUAGAUUUGGGUUUGUGAUUAAGAAAUUAGGCUAACAAGAAUAUUUUUGGAUAGAUGAGUAUUCUUUAAGAGUUUUUCAUCAUAUGUUGUAUUUUUAAAUAAUUUUCUUAAAAUCUAUUAUUUUGGAAAGUUUUCAUUUUCUUGAGAAAUAUUGUAGAUUUAAGUUUAUGAUUUAUAAAUUAGGAUAACAAGAAUAUUUGUUGAUUGAUGAGUAUUCUUUCUGAAUUUUUCAUCAGUAAGUUGUAUUUUUAAAUAAUUUUCUUAAAAACUGCUAUUUUUGGAAAGUUUUCAGUUUAUUUGAGAAAUAUUGUAGAUUUGGGUUUUUGAUUAACAAAUUAGGCUAAUUAGAAUAUUUUUGGAUAGAUGACUAUUCUUUCUGAGUUUUUCAUCAAUAUGUUGUAUUUUAAAAUAAUUUUCUUAUAAACUGCUAUUUUUGGAAAGUUUUCAUUUCUUAGAGAAAUACUGUAGAUUUGGGGUUGUGAUAUAGAAAUUCGGAUAACAAUAAUAUUUGUGGAUAGAUGAGUAUUCUUUCGGAGUUUUUCAUCAAUAGGUUCUAUUUUUAAAUAGUUUUCGUAAAAACUACUAAUUUUGGAAAGCUUUCAUUUUGUAGAGAAAUACUGUAGAUUUGAGUUUAUGAUUUAGAAAUUAAGAUAACAAGAAUAUUUGUGGAUAGAUGAGUAUUCUUUCUGAAUUUUUCAUCAAUAUGUUGUAUUUUUAAAUAAUUUUCUUAAAAACUGCUAUUUUUAGAAAAUUUUCAUUUUUUUAGAAAUACUGUAGAUUUGGGUUUGUGAUAUAGAAAUUCGGAUAACAACAAUAUUUGUAGAUAGAUGAGUAUUCUUUCUGAGUUUUUCAUCAAUAGGUUGUAUUUUAAAAUAUUUUUUUUAAAAACUGCUCUUUUUGGAAAGUUUUCAUUUUUUAGAGAAAUACCCUAGAUUAAGGUUUGUGGUUUAGAAAUUAGAGAGUUUUUGGUUAAAAAUAGAUAUGGUUUUAUAAUUUUUGAUAUAGAAAUUCGGAUAUCAAUAAUAUUUAUAGAUAAAUGAGUAUUCUUUAAGAAUUUUACAUCAAUAUGUUGUAUUUUUAAAUAAUUUUCUUAAAAACUGCUAUUUUUGGAAAGUUUUCAGUUUUUUUUUUAGAAAUAUUGUAGAUUUGAGUUAGUGAUUAAGAAAUUAGGCUAACAAGAAUAUUUUUGGAUAGAUGAGUAUUCUAUAAAAAAAUUUCAUCAAUAUGUUGUAUUUUUAAAUAAUUUUCUUAAAAACUGCUUCAUUUUUUAGAGAAAUGCUAUAGAUUUGGGUUUGUGAUAUAGAAAUUCGGAUAACAAAAAUAUUUGUGGAUAGAUGAGUAUUUUUUUCUGAGUUUUUCAUCAUUAUGUUGUAUUUUUAAAUAAUUUUCUUAAAAACUGCUUCAUUUUUUAGAGAAAUACUGUAGAUUAGGGUUUGUGAUUUAGAAAUUAGAAAGUUUUUGGUUAUAGAUAGAUAUGGUUUUAUAAUUUUUUAUAUAGAAAUUCGAAUCACAAGAAUAUUUUUGGAUAGAUGAGUAUUCUUUUUUGAGUUUUUAUCAAUAUGUUGUAUUUUUAAAUAAUUUUCGUAAAAAUUGCUAAUUUUGGAAAAUUUUCGUUUUUAGAGAAAUACUGUAGAUUUGAGUUUAUGAUUUAGAAAUUAGGAUAACAAGAAUAUUUGUGGAUAGAUGAGUAUUAUUUCUGAAUUUUUCAUCAAUAUAUUGUAUUUUUAAACAAUUUUCUUAAAAACUACUAUUUUUAGAAAGUUUUCAGUUUUUUGAGAAAUAUUGUAGAUUUGGGUUUUUUGAUUUAUAAAUUAAGAUAACACGGAUUUUUGUGGAUAGUUGAGAAUUCUUUCUGAGUUUUUCAUCGAUAUGUUGGAUUUUUAAAUAAUUUUUUUAAAAAGUGCUAUUUUUGGAAAGUUUUCAUUUUUUGAAAAAUAUUGUAGAUUUGGGUUUUUUGAUUUAUAAAUUAAGAUAACACGGAUUUUUGUGGAUAGUUGAGUAUUCUUUCUGAGUUUUUCAUCGAUAUGUUGUAUUUUUAAAUAAUUUUCUUACGAACUACUUCAUUUUUUAGAGAAAUUAUGUACAUUUGGGUUUCUGAUAUAGAAAUUCGGAUAACAAUAAUAUUUGUGGAUAGAUGAGUAUUCUUUUGGAGUUUUUCAUCAAUAUGCUGUAUUUUAAAAUAAUUUUCUUAAAAACUUUUAUUUUGGAAAGUUUUCAUUUUCUAGAGAACCACUGUAGAUUUGAGUUUAUGAUUUAGAAAUUAGGAUAACAACAAUAUUUGUGGAUUGAUGAGUAUUCUUUCUGAAUUUUUCAUCAAUAUGUUGUAUUUUAAAAUAAUUUUCUUAAAAACUUUUAUUUUGGAAAGUUUUCAUUUUCUAGAGAACCACUGUAGAUUUGAGUUUAUGAUUUAGAAAUUAGGAUAACAACAAUAUUUGUGGAUUGAUGAGUAUUCUUUCUGAAUUUUUCAUCAAUAUGUUGUAAUUUUAAAUAAUUUUCUUCAAAUCUGCUAUUUUUGGAAAGUUUUCAGUUUUUUUGAGAAAUAUUGUAGAUUUGGGUUUGUGAUUAAGAAAUUAAGCUAACAAAAAUAUUUUUGGAUAGAUGAGUAUUCUUUAAGAGUUUUAAAUCAAUAUUUUGUAUUUUUAAAUAAUUUUCUUAAAAACUGUUAUUUUGGAAAGUUUUCAUUUUCUAGAGAAAUACUGUAGAUUUGAGUUUAUGAUUUAGAAAUUAGAAUAACAAGAAUAUUUGUUGAUUGAUGAGUAUUCUUUCUGAAUUUUUCAUCAAUAUGUUGUAUUUUUAAAUAAUUUUCUUAAAAACAGCUAUUUUUGGAAAGUUUUCAGUUUUUUUGAGAAAUAUUGUAAAUUUGGGUUUGUGAUUAACAAAUUAGGCUAACAAGAAUAUUUUGGAUAGAUGAGUAUUAUUUAAUACUUUUUCAUCAAUAUGUUGUAUUUUUAAAUAAUUUUCUUAAAAAGUGCUAUUUUUGGAAAGUUUUCAUUUUUUGAAAAAUAUUGUAGAUUUGGUUUUUUUGAUUUAUAAAUUAAGAUAACACGAAUUUUGGUGGAUAGUUGAGUAUUCUUUCUGAGUUUUUCAUCAAUAUGUUGUAUUUUUAAAUAAUUUUCUUAAGAACAGCUUCAUUUUUUAGAGAAAUGAUGUAGAUUUGAGUUUCUGGUAUAGAAAUUCGGAUAACAAUAAUAUUUGUGGAUAGAUGAGUAUUCUUUCGGAGUUUUUCAUCAAUAGGUUGUAUUUUCAAAUAAUUUUCGUAAAAACUGUUAAAUUUGGAAAGUUUUCAUUUUUUUCGAGAAGUGCUGUAGAUUAGGGUUUGUGAUUUCUAAAUUAGGAUAGCAAGAAUAUUUGUGGAUAGAUGAGUAUUAUUUCUCAAAUUUUCAUCAAUAUAUUGUAUUUUUAAAUAAUUUUCGUAAAAACUUGUAUUCUUAGAAAGUUUUCAUUUUUUAGAAAUAUUGUAGAUUAGGGUUUGUGAUUUAGAAAUUAGGAUAACAAGAAUUUUUUUGGAUAGAUGAGUAUUUUUUCUGAGUUUUUCAUCAUUAGGUUAUAUUUUUAAAUAAUUUUUUUAAAAACUGAUAUUUUGGGAUAGUUUUCAUUUUUUAGAGAAAUACUGUAGAUUUGAGUUUGUGAUAUAGAAAUUCGGAUAACAAUAAUAUUUGUGGAUAGAUGAGUAUUCUUUCUGAAUUUUUCAUCAGUAUGUUGUAUUUUUAAAUAAUUUUCUUAAAAACUACUAUUAUUGGAAAGUUUUCAGUUUUUUUGAGAAAUAUUGUAGAUUUGGGUUUGUGAUUAAGAAAUUAGGCUAGCAAGAAUAUUUUUGGAUAGAUGAGUAUUCUUUAAGAGUUUUUCAUCAAUAUGUUGUAUUUUAAAAUAAUUUUCUUAAAAACUCUUAUUUUUGAAAGUUUUCAUUUUCUAGAGAAAUACUGUAGAUUUGAGUUUAUGAUUUAGAAAUUAGGAUAACAACAAUAUUUGUGGAUUGAUGAGUAUUCAUUCUGAAUUUUUCACCAAUAUGUUGUAAUUUUAAAUAAUUUUCUUAAAAACUGCUAUUUUUGGAAAAUUUUCAGUUUUUUUGAGAAAUAUAGUAGAUUUGGGUUUGUGAUUAAGAAAUUAGGCUAACAAAAAUAUUUUUGGAUAUAUGAGUAUUCUUUAAGAGUUUUUCAUCAAUAUGUUGUAUUUUUAAAUAAUUUUCUUAAAAACUGUUAUUUUGGAAAGUUUUCAUUUUCUAGAGAAAUACUGUAGAUUUGAGUUUAUGGUUUAGAAAUUAGGAUAACAAGAAUAUUUGUUGAUUGAUGAGUAUUCUUUCUGAAUUUUUCAUCAAUAUGUUGUAUUUUUAAACAAUUUUCUUAAAAACUACUAUUUUUAGAAAGUUUUCAGUUUUUUUGAGAAAUAUUGUAGAUUUGGGUUUGUGAUUAACAAAUUAGGCUAACAAGAAUAUUUUUGGAUAGAUGAGUAUUCUUUAAUAAUUUUUCAUCAAUAUGUUGUAUUUUUAAAUAAUUUUCUUAAAAACUGCUAUUUUUGGAAAAAUUUCAUUUUUUUGAAAAAUAUUGUAAAUUUGGGUUUUGUGAUUUAUAAAUUAAGAUAACACAAAUUUUUGUGGAUAGUUGAGUAUUCUUUCUGAGUUUUUCAUCGAUAGGUUGUAUUUUUAAAUAACUUCCUUAAGAACUGCUUCAUUUUUUAGAGAAAUGAUGUAGAUUUGGGUUUGUAAUAUAGAAAUUCGGAUAACAAUAAUAUUUGUGGAUAGAUGAGUAUUUUUCUGAGUUUGUCAUCAAUAGGUUGUAUUUUUAAAUAAUUUUCUUAAAAACUGAUAUUUUUGGAAAAUUUCAUUUUUUAGAGAAAUAUUGUAGAAUAGGGUUUGUGAUUUAGAAAUUAGAGAGUUUUUGGUUAUAGAUAGAUAUGGUUUUAGAAUUUUUGAUAUAGAAAUUCGGAUACAAUAAUAUUUGUGGAUAUAUGAGUAUUCUUUCUGAGUUUUUCAUCAAUAUGUUGUAUUUUAAAAUAAUUUUCUUAAAACCUGCUAUUUUGGAAAGUUUUAAUUUUCUAGAGAAAUAGUGUAGAUUUGAUUUUAUGAUUUAGAAAUUAGAACAACAACAAUAUGUGUGUAUUGAUGAGGAUUCUUUUUGAAUUUUUCAUCAGUAUGUUGUAUUUUUAAAUAAUUUUCUUAAAAACUGCUAUUUUUGGAAAGUUUUCAGUUUUUUUUUAGAAAUAUUGUAGAUUUGGGUUUGUGAUUAAGAAAUUAAGCUAACAAGAAUAUUUUUGGAUAGAUGAGUAUUCUUUAAGAAUUUUUCAUCAAUAUGUUGUAUUUUUAAAUAAUUUUCUUAAAAACUACUAUUUUUGGAAAGUUUUCAUUUUUAGAGAAAUACUGUAGAUUUGGGUUUUGUGAUUUAUAAAUUAAGAUAACACGAAUUUUUGUGGAUAGUUGAAUAUUCUUUCUGAGUUUUUCAUCAAUAUGUUGUAUUUUUAAUUAAUUUUCUUAAAAACUGUUAUUUUUGGAAAGUUUUCAUUUUUUAGAGAAAUACUGUAGAUUUGGGUUUGUGAUAUAGAAAUUCGGGUAACAAUAAUAUUUGUGGAUAGAUGAGUAUUCUUUCUCAGUUUUUAUCAAUAAGUUGUAUUUUUAAAUAAUUUUUCUUAAAAACUGCUAUUUUUGAAAAGUUUUCAUUUUGUAGAGAAUGAGUAUUCUUUCUGAGUAUAAGUCUUGGUUAAAUCUCAUUCCCAUUGACUGUUUUUAACGAGUUUUUUGUUCACUGUUGUAGCAAAACCGGCAUUGGACUGGAACAUGAGGAAGAAGAUUGCGAUUGGAGCAGCAAGAGGUUUGACGUAUCUACACGAGCAAUGUGAUCCCAAGAUCAUUCACAGAGAUGUCAAAGCAGCUAAUAUACUCUUUGACGAGUGCUUUGAAGCUGUUGUUGGUGACUUUGGGCUUGCGAAGCUCCUCAACCACGAGGAUUCUCAUGUCUCGACCACGGUCCGUGGCACCGUUGGUCACAUUGCACCUGAAUAUCUUUCCACAGGUCAGUCUUCUGAGAAGACCGAUGUGUUUGGGUUUGGUAUACUCUUGCUUGAGCUCAUAACCGGAUUGAGAGCUCAGUUUGGUAAAACCGCUAGCCAGAAAGGAGUUAUGCUUGAAUGUGUAAGCAAUAAGACUCAUAAUCACACUUUCUUGAUUACAAUCAACUGAAUCAAACUUUGGUUUAGGUGAAGAAACUGCAUGAAGAAAUGAAGGUAGAGGAACUGGUGGACCGAGAACUAGGGACAAACUAUGAUAAGAGUGAAGUCGGAGAGAUGUCGCAAGUGGCUUUGCUAUGCACACAAUAUCUUCCAGCUCAUCGUCCUAAAAUGUUUGAAGUGGUUUUGAUGCUGGAAGGAGAUGGUUUAGCUGAGAGAUGGGCUGCUUCGCAUAACCAUUCACAUUUCUACCAUGCCAAUAUCUCUUUCAAGACAAUCUCAUCUUUGUCUACUACUUCUGUGCCAAGGCUUAAUGAAGCACAUUGCAAUGAUCCAACUUACCAAAUGUUUGGGUCUUCGGCUUUCGACAAUGAUGAUGCUGAUCAACAGCCUUUAGAUUUGCUAGCCAUGGAACUAUCGGGUCUAAGAUAACACACAGAUAGAAAGAUAUCAUCUUUCUAUCAAACUACCCAAGGAAGAAGCUCUACACUUAUUAGAAUAUAGACAUGUAUGAUAAAAUUUCUCCACAGUUUGAGAUUCUGUGGCGAUGUAUGUAUAUAUUUUGCUUUAACGGUAAUGAUGACAAAUGAAGAAAUCUAUUAGACUGAUUUGUUUGACUCUUCUUUUGACUAGAAUCUGUUUUGCUCUCUCUCAAAUGUAUCAUUACUCAUUUGAAGGAUGAGAAGUUUGCUCUUUUUGUUGUUACCCGAAGCUGGUCGUUGUCCUCAAAUAAGAACAUCUCCAGAUGUAAACAUCAUUUUUUCUUUAAAAUUUGACUUAAAAAAAUGAAAGGAAAUAACAUGUUCUCGAUUGAUUUGUUUCAGUUUUUCUUUAUUAAAGAAAAUUCUAAUUACCAUUUUUUCAUUAAACUAUUAAUAAAACUUUAUACCUUUUCAAAUUUACUGAUUUUAUCCAACAAAACGUAUCAUUUAUACCUGAUAAAAUGUAUUAAGUUUUCAUAUGUUUUUGAUCGUUCUGAUUUAAUUCUACUUUUGUGAUCUUCUCUGUUUAUUUUUGUUCUCUUCCUCUCCUUGUUGUAUAUCUAUCUAUAUUUUUGCAUCAGUAGUGAUUCAACUAACAAAAAGAGACGACUAUGUUUAUCCAGGAACGGACCAUCUCUUUCGAAAAAAGUAAAUUUUUUUUAUAUAAAGUUAAAUAACUUAUAAAGCAUAUAAUAUAAGAUGUGUAUGCUAAUCAAGUGCAAUUUAUUUAUUAUGCGUGAUCCUCUUCGGUACGUCUGAGAGCCAAAGGUAAUCUCAAAGCUUUUUAAAAACUUUGAAAUUCAUUGACGUUGUCCUAUCAAUAAUAUAAUUUGUUAUAUUUUGGGGAAUAUUUACAUCUUUAAAUAUUUUUGUUAGAAUUACAUCUUUUCUGGCUCAAAGCUUAGAGAAGGAAAUCGUAAAUCAUCUAUGUUGUUACAAUGAAACCAAUGAUAAUAAAUCUCAGGUAAUUCAAAUCUCUCUUAUAUUUCAUGGCUGAUUUUUUAUUGGGGUUAUGCGUGAAAUAUUUGUUUUUUCUCAAUUAUAUUUUUCUGAUGUUUUAAGAUUAGUGUUAAAUGUGAUCGUUUUCUAAACGUUCUAAUGUAUUCUUUGUUCAUAUGAACAUAGUAUAAAUAUCAAUAUGUAACAUCUAAUCUUUCAUAUUAGCCAUAUACAUCUAACAUAAGUAUUAUAUAGUUGUAAUAUAUGUAAUUAUCAAUUUAAUAUUAAUGUUAAUGCCCGCACAUGCGUGCGGACCGUCCACCUAGUAUAAAUAUAAAUGCACUAACGUGAUGAAGUAUAAGAAGAAGCUUACUAAUUUUAUUAAUUUAAAGUGUACCGGUCCUUUUAUUUAACCGGUUACACACGUUUGAUAAUUGAAAACCAUAUAAAUGAUAGGUGCUCGUAUAUUAAUUGGUCACUAGGUUAAGAUCCGCGCCUUGCGCGGAAUCAACAUUAUAUAUAUAAUUAUAACAUUAUAUAAAUAAUUUUAAAUUUCUGAUAAAUUUAUUCUGUAAACAACGAUAAAUAAUUUAAAAAUCAUAUUAAUAGACAUGUUUGGAUUUUGUAAUAUUUAAAAUAGUUAUUAUAUAAUUAUAUUCGAAUACAAUUCAUCAAGUGGAGUAUAAAACCAUUUUAAUUAUCUUAUAUAAAAAUUAGUUCAUUAUAUUUUAUAGUUUAUAAAUAUUAAAAGUAAUAAAUAAAACAUUAUUAAUCUUUCUAUAAUUUCGAGAAUUAGUUGCAAUAAAUUGUUAUUUGUAAUAUUCUUUAGAUUAUAUGGCAAGUGAUGUUAAAUGUUUUUAGACUUACCUUAAAUUUUUAGAUCUAAUUUAAAUAAAUAAAAAUUAAAAACAAUCGACCAAUCAAAUUAUAACAAUUUUUUGAAACUUCAACUAUGAGCUACACGUCACCAGAAAUCAUUAAAGUGACUUCUCAUUUAAUAUAUAAGGGGGAUUAUUCGUCAAACAUUCAGCAAUUUCUCUUGUAAAAAAAAAUAUAGGUUUUAAUUUCUCGAGCGUAGGGAAUAAAUGUGUAGAACAAGAAUAAAGAUGCAUGUAAUAUGAAACAAGUACAAAGAUGCAUGUGAUGUGAAAAUAAGGUGAUUAGUUGCGAACCAUCUCGCUGCUUACAUAAUCCUGCUCAGCCUAAUUCGGCAUCUUGGCCACUUCCAUCUCGUGCUUUUCCUAUUCUAUCUUGUUCUUUUAGUAAUUUGAUUCUAUAAACCAAGAUCAAAAAUUGAUAAAUUUCAUGAUUUUAGUCAUCAAGGAGAAAUUUCAUGAUUUUAGUCGUCAAAGGAGAAAACAUUUUUUGACAAUUUGAUGUAACCGGCCCUGGGCUAAAGCUGGUAAAACCCAAGCUUUAGGCGCCAAAUUAUAUUAUAUAUUUAAAGGACAGUAAAUCGACAUAUGUUAACAGUUGUGCAGUGGUUUAAGCUUACAAUAUUUUCGCAGUGGGGCAGGUUCGAAUCUUGUUCAUACCAUUUGAGUACAAUAAUUUUUUCUAUCUGGGUUCAAAGGUUUUGGGCUUUAUUUAUCCUUUCUUUUACUUGUCUUUGUCUUGCAACAAUCUCAGUGGCCUUGUUUGUUUGUUUUUAUGUUUUCUUUGUGGUGGUCCGGGAGACUUGUGUGAUAUUUAUAUUUUGGGUGUUUAUUAUGUCAAAUAUAUCCUUUUUAUUCUAUGAAUUGUAAUUUGUGGGUGGAUAUGUAUUUUACUAAAUGCGCUGAUGAAUUUAUCUACUUAUCAUCCAUCCUUUACGGUAUUUGUUAAUCUUAGACAGCAAAUACAACAGCUUCAAAUUGAAAGUUAAGUGUGUGUACCAUACGUUUAACAAGCCUUUCAACGUUGUGACACAAAUGUACCGUGACAGAGUAAUGUAUUAACAAACGGAAUGGAAUAUAUGCGGAAAAAAAGAUGCAAACUUGGCAACGUGUCAAAUCUUAUGAACACUUGUCAUCACCCUUUAGCUCCAGAGCUCAGUUUCCUAAAAAGCAUAAUAUCAAAGGAAUGUAAAUAUAUGGAGGAAAAGGGAAAAUACAGAAUCAAACAAAGUGUGGUCGCAAAUUUUACCUAUCUUGCGCAGCACGCUUUUGCAUGUAAGGAACACUUGGUAUCCAGGAUCAUGAAGCUCAAAAUCAAACUUUCUGGACACAAUUUCAGAGCAAAUGUUUCUGCAAAGCUCAAUAUCAAGAGUUUCAAACCUCCUUACGAUGCUUUGAUGAACAAAGUGGCCAUUGGGGUUUGUCACCAAUUCUUCAAGGUUGAUCUCUUUGAAGCAAUCAAGAACGGUCAUGUCAUCGCUGUUACGGAAAAUACUCUGUACAACAAAGUGAGAAUAUGCAAUUUUGGAAAGAAUCAUCAGAGUGCCCUUCAAAGACGCAAUGGCAAGCUUAGAAGCUUCGUUUUGAAGACAAAUGAGACUCUGAACAACAUGGUUCCUGCAUUAAAUACAUUACAAGUAAGAGGUCAUAUAUGUAAGUGCGACUAAUGUAUCAAAAAAAGAAAGUAAAUGCCACUAAUGCAUGCGACAAAGCAAGGAGAACAGAUGGCCAUAAUCAUUUCUUUACGUGUGGGUGUGCUUUGUUAUCUUUGGUUACCAAACAAAAAUAAAUGGUGAAUAUAAUUACGUCUACUUCAAAUUAAAUAAGAAUCACAUUUUGAAAAAAGGAAAAGUUUAUACCCAUAUUUGAGCUUAGAGAUAGCCACAAGAUGUUCCUGAAUUGCUUGAACAAGAGAGAAGUUAAACUCCAUGGAAGAAACAGUGAUCAAGUCACACAGGUUCUUAUAGGCUUUAAAAUGGCUUGAUAGAGAAAUGAUGUUGCCUGAGAUGGUGGCUAGAAGCGGCUUUAAAAAAAAUAACAAAACACAAUCAUAUUAAAUCAUGUUUAAUCAUCUCAUCUGAUAAACAAAGGGACUAAGUAAUACCUGACGAGCUUGGAAUCCAACUUUCUCGGAUGUAAUGAAAGAAAUAAGAGGCUUAAACAUCAUCAUCAUUCUUCAAAAAUCUCAUUAAGAGCUCUCCCUGAAUCAAACCAGCAAAUUGCUGGUUCUUCCCACCCUUGUCAGUCACUAAGAAUAUAGUCUCACGCCUAAACAAAUAUAAACUUUGGUGAGAAAAAGAACAAGCGAAAAAACAAAGUCAUCAUAAAGCUCAUGAACAAAAAUUGCCUUGAAAGCGAAACCAUACCCUUGUUUGUUGAGUAAAGCCUGUCCGAAAUCUUGAAGAUUACUUGUGAAUCCAUCAAACAACGAGUGUAAAUCUUCAUCGCAGGCAACAGAGAUUAAGCCGCUUAAGUUUUUAGAACCUUUCUCAUGGUUUGAUAGAAGCAAAAUGUUGUUUGCUAGAAGAGGCUAUAAAAAUAACACAAACGAUCAUAUUAGUUAACUUUCAAUCAAUCUAAUCUGAUAAACAAAGGGACUAAGUAAUACCUGACGAGCUCCGAAACCAACUUUCUCUGAUGAAAUGAAAGUAAUCAACGGCUUAACAUCAACAGAAGUCAUCAUCAAUCUAACUAAGAGAUCUCCUUGAAUCAAACCGGCAAAAUGCUUGUUGUUCCCAGAGUAGUCAGUCACCAAGAUUAUACUCUCCAGCCUGGAAAAAUAAAGCUCUGGUUAGAAAACGAAUCGAGAUUAGGGUUUAAAGAAUCGGAUUCUUACCCAAGCUCGUUGAGAAGACUUUGUCCCAAUUCUUGACGAUUUUUUGUCAAUUCAUCGUAUAUCGAGAUCAGAUCUGCAUCGCGUGAUAGUUCAUAAGCUCUGUUGCAGAAGAGCACCAGAACUCGAUGGCCUUCUGGAUCGCUCGCGAGGAGAUGAACACCAUGUCGAAUUAGCCGUUGCGCUAGGUCGCAGAGAUCGAAUACCGAAGCUGCCUCCAGGAUUCGGCAGAACCUAGAUGCAUCCAUUGCGUCCAUGGCGAUUCACUGCUUUUUCAGAGAAAAUCGUGAAGAGUAAGAGAAAAUGUUUCGGAGGGAAAUGUAUACCUGAAAUUCGAAGAGGAUGGUUAUGGUCAAGGUGGGCCGUUGGAUGAUAGUUUUUUUAGACGGUUGAUAUUAAUUGUCACGCGCCUGGAUCUCAUCUCAUCCAUCCAAAAGAUCUCAUUCGACGGUUUAGAUUGACUGAUUUGUGCGCACUCGGAUUCGGAAUUGGAGUUCAUCCUUCGCUUGUGUUUUUCGAACAGAGUUUUGUGCUUUUGUUGCAAAGAGAGAGUGUGAGGGAGAGAGCCUCUUGGAAUGAAUUAGUUUUUUCCUUUUUAUACCUCUCUUUGGUUUAAUAAAGAAUUAAAUGGUUGCUUCCAUUACAUCCGUUUGAUUGGAUCAACGUCCGGUGAUAUUUAAUCCUACGGUUCGGGUCUAUCGAUGCCAGAUUUAACUCUUCUUUUCUCGGUUUUGAUUUUUAUGAAUAUACCCUUUUUUUCUUUUUUUCUUUUUUGGGAAUGACAAAACAAGCUCCGUUUAUUAUUCAACCUCUGAUUUUAGCUUCCUCUCCACGCUUCCAAUCUAAACCGUCGGAUUCAUUGAUAUUUCACAUUUACCCAUACAUUUUUGAAAAAUCGAUUUAAUUUUUUUUUUUUUUAUGAAACUGUUUUCGAAUGUUUAAAUUUCAUCGGACAUGUAACACAUAGUGUUAUUUAUUCUUAUCUUGUGAGUGAUGGUAUUCUUAUUUGUUUGAUAAACUUUCCUUAAUCAACAGUUUCCUCUCGUAAUUAAAUUUAACAUCCUUAAAUAUCACACAACUUUAUAUAAGCACUUCAAACAACGUCGCAUUUCUCUCCAAGUUUCCUACCCACAUCCGCUGGAAUCUAUUACAUUAAUCCUACGGUUCGGAUUUCUCUCGAUUUUCGUUUUUUUAAAAAAAUGUUUUUGGAAACUGUUUUUCUUUUGCUCCUUUUCCAUGCAUUGCCUCUUUUCACUCACCGAUACAAAACAAUAGUGUAAAAAAGAAUGCGCUUUAAUCGAUUGAUUCGACUUCACGCUUUGCUGUUAAGUUAUUAUGACUAACUUUACAUUUACUAUACCUAUUUUGCUCGGCUAAACUUAAACCUUUUUCUCUUUUUGGCGGCGUACAUUUUUCAAAAAGCAAAAAAAAAAAAAAAAAACAUUAAGCCGCUUAAGUUUUUAGAACCUUUCUCAUGGUUUGAUAGAAGCAAAAUGUUGUUUGCUAGAAGAGGCUAUAAAAAUAACACAAACGAUCAUAUUAGUUAACUUUCAAUCAAUCUAAUCUGAUAAACAAAGGGACUAAGUAAUACCUGACGAGCUCCGAAACCAACUUUCUCUGAUGAAAUGAAAGUAAUCAACGGCUUAACAUCAACAGAAGUCAUCAUCAAUCUAACUAAGAGAUCUCCUUGAAUCAAACCGGCAAAAUGCUUGUUGUUCCCAGAGUAGUCAGUCACCAAGAUUAUACUCUCCAGCCUGGAAAAAUAAAGCUCUGGUUAGAAAACGAAUCGAGAUUAGGGUUUAAAGAAUCGGAUUCUUACCCAAGCUCGUUGAGAAGACUUUGUCCCAAUUCUUGACGAUUUUUUGUCAAUUCAUCGUAUAUCGAGAUCAGAUCUGCAUCGCGUGAUAGUUCAUAAGCUCUGUUGCAGAAGAGCACCAGAACUCGAUGGCCUUCUGGAUCGCUCGCGAGGAGAUGAACACCAUGUCGAAUUAGCCGUUGCGCUAGGUCGCAGAGAUCGAAUACCGAAGCUGCCUCCAGGAUUCGGCAGAACCUAGAUGCAUCCAUUGCGUCCAUGGCGAUUCACUGCUUUUUCAGAGAAAAUCGUGAAGAGUAAGAGAAAAUGUUUCGGAGGGAAAUGUAUACCUGAAAUUCGAAGAGGAUGGUUAUGGUCAAGGUGGGCCGUUGGAUGAUAGUUUUUUUAGACGGUUGAUAUUAAUUGUCACGCGCCUGGAUCUCAUCUCAUCCAUCCAAAAGAUCUCAUUCGACGGUUUAGAUUGACUGAUUUGUGCGCACUCGGAUUCGGAAUUGGAGUUCAUCCUUCGCUUGUGUUUUUCGAACAGAGUUUUGUGCUUUUGUUGCAAAGAGAGAGUGUGAGGGAGAGAGCCUCUUGGAAUGAAUUAGUUUUUUCCUUUUUAUACCUCUCUUUGGUUUAAUAAAGAAUUAAAUGGUUGCUUCCAUUACAUCCGUUUGAUUGGAUCAACGUCCGGUGAUAUUUAAUCCUACGGUUCGGGUCUAUCGAUGCCAGAUUUAACUCUUCUUUUCUCGGUUUUGAUUUUUAUGAAUAUACCCUUUUUUUCUUUUUUUCUUUUUUGGGAAUGACAAAACAAGCUCCGUUUAUUAUUCAACCUCUGAUUUUAGCUUCCUCUCCACGCUUCCAAUCUAAACCGUCGGAUUCAUUGAUAUUUCACAUUUACCCAUACAUUUUUGAAAAAUCGAUUUAAUUUUUUUUUUUUUUAUGAAACUGUUUUCGAAUGUUUAAAUUUCAUCGGACAUGUAACACAUAGUGUUAUUUAUUCUUAUCUUGUGAGUGAUGGUAUUCUUAUUUGUUUGAUAAACUUUCCUUAAUCAACAGUUUCCUCUCGUAAUUAAAUUUAACAUCCUUAAAUAUCACACAACUUUAUAUAAGCACUUCAAACAACGUCGCAUUUCUCUCCAAGUUUCCUACCCACAUCCGCUGGAAUCUAUUACAUUAAUCCUACGGUUCGGAUUUCUCUCGAUUUUCGUUUUUUUAAAAAAAUGUUUUUGGAAACUGUUUUUCUUUUGCUCCUUUUCCAUGCAUUGCCUCUUUUCACUCACCGAUACAAAACAAUAGUGUAAAAAAGAAUGCGCUUUAAUCGAUUGAUUCGACUUCACGCUUUGCUGUUAAGUUAUUAUGACUAACUUUACAUUUACUAUACCUAUUUUGCUCGGCUAAACUUAAACCUUUUUCUCUUUUUGGCGGCGUACAUUUUUCAAAAAGCAAAAAAAAAAAAAAAAAACGUUUGUAAUUUCUCGCCAACUUAAGCUUUUUUCUCUUUUUGGAAACUGUUUUCAAAAGUGUUAUUUAUUUCCUCGGUUUUAACUUUCAUUCUUUAUGGGAAUUACCCAUUUCAUUUUGCUUCUUCUUUUCUUCCAUUGGUAAGUUCCUUUUACCACUCCCAACGGUAACUAAUUAAUUAUUACGCACGCUAAUAUUAGAGACAUGUAGUACUUUUCUUCAUUCAUUGGUUCUGUAUUCCUCGUUUGGAUUUGAAUGGUAUUAACAAUUUGACAGGAAAAAAAAAUGCUAUGGUGCACGCAACACACCCUUUUCUUUAUAAGAUUUAAGAGUACUAUAACAUAUAUUUCAAAGUGUUAUUAACAUUUUAAAUUAUGGUUGAACAAUACGUAAGUUAAAGAAGACACUCGAUCAAAGCCGAGAUUGAUUACGCAAAAAUCUAUUUGAUUACACUCGAACAAUAGGUUACAACUUGUUGCAGAAAUACAUUGGACGAUUGUUAUCUCUUCUGAAUUCGUUUGAUUUGACCUGGGUCAUAAUUUAAACGGGCCUAGGACAAGAAAUAUUUUACUUAAAAUUAAAGAGAGAAAUAGGGUUUAAGACGCCGUUCGAACUCAGGAAAAGGGUGCCAAAGGAUAAAUCAAGAAACCAUUUGAUCUGAUAUCCACUAUUAAACCAAUCUUAAAAAAUAAGACCUUUAAAUUAAACAUGUGUAAUUUACUUUCAUAUAAACAAAACAAUAACAAUCCAGUUGGGAAUCAAUCAAGUGAUCUCAAUGCAGACCAGAGUAAAUAUAUUAAUUAAGAUUCAAGAGGACGUUCAAUCGUUUUUGAUAAUCAAUCUUUUGGACAAUUUAACCGGUACAAUUGUAGUUAUUUCUUAACCGGGACAAUACCUUUGACUUUAACGUUUUCAUUUAUUAUAUUUUUGUAUAUAGAUAUUUUAUUGUAGCCAUAGUAUAAUGCAUUGUCGUAAUAUUUUAGUCUCUCCAACUAAAGAAUGUCGACGUCAUGGAACAACACUAAAUAACAACAGUAAGAUUAUUUAUAGAGGCACUAAAUAUGAAUCAUUCAUUUUGUUAUAGUUUAGAGACGCAAGGAAGGGGGAAUAUCUCAUACGUAAGAGAGUACAUAAAGUCUGAUAAUGAUAUACUUGGCCUUUUUGCUUCUUUUGACUGUCCAUCACCCAAACUUAACCUCGUUUGUUGGUUACUGCGAUAAUGGACGUAGCAUGGCUCUCAUCUAUGAGUACAUGGCCAAUGGAAACUUUCAGGAAUAUCUUUCAAGUGAGAAGGCAGAGAAUCUUAGCUGGGAGAAGAGACUCCAUAUAUAGCCAUAGACUCUGCACAAGGUUGGUCUAAAUCCGAGAGUAGUCUGGUUCAGGUGUGAAAACGUUCUUUACUUUAGAUGCCCUGGAGAGAAACCUUACAAUAAUAAUAAUAAUAAAAAGAAACCUUGUGGUGUUCUUGAUGCUUGUUGCAUGACCCAUGAUAAUUGUGACUUGUGCAUGAUAUUAAAGGUUAAUUAACUCAAUCAAAAACUAUAUAUACUCCUUGUAUGUUUAAAAUGAUUUCUUUAUAGAAACCCUUCUUGAAAAAGUCUAAUGACUACAGUAUAAACCUAAUCAAUGAUUCAGUUUUCUUCGUUGUUUUGGUCGCACUGUGUUACAUGGAACCUUGUUCUUGUUUACAUAUUGUAAGAGGAACUAUUUUCUAAUAUGGUAACUAUUUGAGGUCUGACUUAUUUAACUGCCAUGAACAAUUCAAGCACUGCGUAAACAGACUAUGCAGAACAAUUAAACAAUCUAAUGGCACCAAAAGUUGGCUUUUCCACCAGAUGUCCUCACCAACCGUCUACAAUGGAAUGGAUUAUGACAUUUUCUUCAGUAGAAUAUGUAAUUAUUGAACUCUUUUGUUUGUUAUUUAACUAUCAAAUUACUUGUCUAAACCGAAACAUAAGUUAAGACUUUUUAAAUAGCUGUUAUUUUGUUUUAGCGGAGGUUUAAACCAUGGAGGCAUGUUUAAAGUAUAAUUAUACAUACAAUAUUCCCUUGCUGUAAGAAAGUAUGAUAAAUAAAAUGCAAAAAAGAAUAUGGUUUACAUGUAUUCUCGCCUCUAGGCCGAAGAGGCACCACGUACGAUUCCCACCACUGUCUAAUAAUUGAGUAAUAGGUAAUAACCCGCGCCUUGCGAUUAGUUUCGUUAUUUUUAAUAAAAACAUAUUAAAUCUGCUUAAUGUGGAUAUCAGUUUGGUUUUAAAUUAUUUUUUGGUUUUUAAUCUCCUAAAAUAUAGCUCUUAUUUUUAAUUAAUAUAUAUUUUGGUUUAUUCGGUUAGAAUGUUUGACUUUUUAGUUUUUUUUGGUAAAAACCAAAAUAUUAUUUGUUUAUUUUCAUGUUAUGAAUUUAGAUAGUCGUCAUGUCGAACCAAUGUUUCAUAUCAUAGUUUGUAAACGGAUAAUAGUUUAAGAAAAAAAAAACUAUUAAGACAAACCAUUUCACUGUAAUUUGGUCGGUAGUGAAAGAAGCAUUAAGAAAAAAAAUAUUCUAAUUUCCAAAAAAAAAUAGAUACUUCAGUUGUAGUAAAUAAUUAGUUAAAAGGUGGUCACAUCAAGGUGCAUAUGUAUGUGUAUGUUAAAGUAUAUAAAAAUAGUUCACAAAUAUAUAAAGACAUUGUUAAUUAAUAUUAAAUGAAAUUUUUGUUCAAAAUAAUACAUGAAAGAUCAAAUUAAAAUUAAUUAAAAAUUAAAAAGACUUUGACAUUAGUGAAUUUUUUCAUAUAAAGAAAAAUAAAUUGUAUCCGUAAAUAGACGUGGACACAGAUCGAAUAUCCGGGUAUUUGGAGGCAUUCAUGUCGAUUCAAUCUUUAGCAACUUGGAUAAUCGGUGACUCUGAUAUCCGAAAUGAUUUAGAAUUUUAAAGAAUAUCUGAUUUGAUCCGUAAAUAAAAGAAAAUUUUAAAAAAUGAUUGAAAAAUUUAAUAAAAACAUUUUAUCACAAAAAUAAAAUAUUAUUUAACUUUUAUGAUUUUAAUACCUAAUAUAAUAAAUUUAAUUCAUAAAAAUAUUGUAAAACUUAUAUAAACUUUAACAUAUAUAAUAUAUAUAUUAUUUGUUUUGAUUCGAACCGAAAAAUCAAAAGUUUUAUUGGAACCAUGCAUGUGGGUUUUAUAUUAAAAAAUACAAAGUAUGUAGUGUGAACACACCCCUUAUAUAUUAAUUGAGAAACAUUUGAGAAGAUGUAAUCUCAAUUUUGUAAUAAUUAAAAAAAAUUAUUUGCUUAUGUCUCAAUCAAUUAGGUAGUUAAUUAAUCUAACGUGUCAGCCUCACAUUGAAAUUGAAAAACAUGUUGGUCCAAUUCGAUUUUUAUAUCUCACUAGAAACAUUUAAUACCAACUAUAUGAUAUCAUAUGAUAUUAAAAAAAGCAAGGGGACUAUUUCUUAUAUAUUACUUCUUUAAAUAAAACCUACUAAAUUAUCUAAUGAGAUUAUGAUAUAUAUAGUAAUUAAUGAUUUUAAAUAAUGAAGUUUUACUAAUAAUAUGUAUGCUUUCUAUCAUUUUUAUUUAAUUCUUUACUAUUAAAUUAAAUUACACAAUUACAUUAAUCAUAUAUUAAAAUUUUAGAUUUUUUUGUAUAUGUUGUACUUUGAAUUUUUCAAAACGAGUAUAAAUUACAAAAACUGUUAAAAGUCUCACAUAAACUUCUGUGAUCAAUGUUUAAUUUUUUUCCUAUAACAAGAUAAAAUGAUAAUAAAAUCAUAUAAAUAAAUAAUUUUAUUUUAAUAGGUGUUUAUGUUAAUAUAUAUAUAUAUAUAUACUUCAUAUCGUAUAAAUUUAAUUAUAUAUCAUAUACGAUAGAUAAGAUUGAUUGUUUUGAUUUAUUUAUUCUAAAAUGAUUGCGAAUAAACAAGAGCGGUCAUUUGAUUUAUAUGUACAAGCCAAUUUAUUACAUAAUAGUAACUGGUUUCUUAGCUAUUUAAUAUAUUAUUAUUUUUUAUUAUUUCAUAAUAUGCAGAAAAUAUAAAAUAAGUAUUUAUUCUGCACACAGCGCAGAUCUUAACCUAAGUAUGUAUCUUUUAAAUAAUUUUGAAUCUUAAACAUUUUUUAAAUCUCAGACCAAAAUAAAAGAAAGAAAUGAGCAUAAACUAUAAAAUUAAUAUUUAUAUCGAGCAAUAACUAAAAUGACACAAAAAUAAGAAAAAUAUCGAAGAUAGAUAUGAUUGACACGUGAACGUAAACUCCUCAAAACGAUAAUUAACUUUAAAAUUGCUAAAUCAUGAUAUAAAACCGAGCUGACAUAGUUUCAUUGUAACCAAAUAGUAGGCAUGAGAUUCUUCGGCCUAAACGUUAGGUUUUUUAUGCGAUAAAUAAUUUUUUGACCUAAAAUAUUUUUAAAAAUAGAAUCAAUUCAUUAGUAAACAAAUUAUGUAAUUAACAAAAAAAAGUUUAAAAAGUUGUUUAAGAGUCAUAUAUAUUAAUUCGAUAAAUAAUAUAAAUUUUUUUCCAUACGAUAUUUCUUAAAUAAUUUUCAAAUAAAUUUACCCUGCGCAAGGCACAUGUCUUAUCCUAAUUUAUAAUUAUAGUGUGAACGCGUUAGCCAGGGCCGUCUAACAGCACACACAAGUGGAACGGUUGAACAGGGCCCCAAAAUAAAAAAAAUAAAAAGUUUAUGAAAUUUUUAAAAUAUAUAAAUAAAUUAUGAUAAAAACUUUAAAAUUUUAGAUAUAAUGCUAAAUUUAGAACUUCUUAUCUCUUAUACUAUAAAGAAGAGUUUCACUCUCUUUUGAGCCCUCCACGUCACUAAAUAGGUAAACAAUAGAGUGACACGUGUCCAGGUCUGCGUUUCAUUUAAUAUAUGCGAGAUGCGAAAUGGGCUUCGAUCCAAUCUAUUCUCUGUUUCUUCUUUCGCUUCCUCUCCCUCUCCAUGACAAAUCAUCACCGGUCACAAAUUCUUUACUGCUUCUUCAAUUUGCUAACGACACCAGAUCGACACCUUAAUCCUAGCUAUAUAACAGUGAUAGGUUCAAUUCAGAUGGAAUCCUCACAACCGGUCCUUAAUUUCAAGACACCAAGUCUCCACGGCCUCUGAUCGCCGUUGAGCCAUUGUUCCUCCGGUGGAGGUAAUUUACAAAUCGCUUCUCUUAUUUAGUAGUUUCUAAACUAAAUCUAACCAGCAUCGAAAUAAGGUUUUACAUUACUCUGGUUCAACAAGCCAUACCAUAGGGACGAUCUCUUAUGAUUUCAUUUGGUCUACAUGAUUAGUCAUAAACGAAGGUAUCUCAAAUUCAAAGCCUUCUUCACGGAAACCCCUUCCAAACACGAAGCCAUCCACGUUUCUGAUGUUACGCAGUCGGCGGCGUUGAUCGCGCACGGCUCCGUAGAUGUCAAAUGUACGAUUUUAUUUUUUCUGCUUAUAUUUGCAUGUUUGCUUCUUUCCCUCUGACUUCUCAUGGGAUUAGAUGCCUGACACUAGCCAAGCUUUUCCCACAGCAGGUCACCACCAGCUGACUUAUGUAGCUGACCAACGUCGUCGGUACAGCUAUCCACGGUUCGUUCCAGUUUGGAUCGGAUGCUUUUGAAAAGCUUUAAAAAGGUAACGACAUUCAAAGUGACAAAUUAUAAUUCUCUGAUAUUUUCAUUUCCAUGGACAUUUGCUUGAUUUCUCUUUAUUUGCUUCUUCGAUAAAAACAAAAGGAAACUGGGUGAGAAGAAGGCACAUACCACCAUGUAAGACUUUUAAUUUUGUGUAGUUACAUACAAUUUUAAGACUUGAUUGAUCUAAUCAAGUUUUUCCUUUUGUUUGUUAUGAUUCUCUCUACUAUAGGAGACGUACGCGUAGGCGCCUGGCAACUCAACCAAUGGUAGUAUUUUUUGUGCUAAAUAUUUUCAUUGUUUGGUUAAGUUUUCUUUCAAAAAAUAUGUGUGUCAUUAUGCAUACAUUCAACUGUCAUUGGUCUGAUUCUUUUUCAAUUCAGAGGAAAUAUUUCCUAUGUUUUUCUUUAUUUGGCUUUAGCAAAUCGGACAAGAGAUGUACAGAUAGUGUUUGGUCCAUUCACAAGACUGUGUGUGAUCAUCCCAGCGUUAUCAAACUACAAGGUUUGGUUACUUCAAAUCUGUCUUAUGUAAAAUGAAAAUUAGAUCUUCGUAAGAGGAAAAUGAACUAUCUGAGGUAAGACAGAUGUUAGUUUUGUAAGUUUUUCUCUUAAGUUUUUUAAGACAGAUGUUAGCAUUUGGGGAAUUCAAAUAUAUUUAGAGGGAAAGGUCUUAAAAAGAAAGAAUGAGGAAGUUAAAUGUUUUGUGAGUCAUAAUAUUCUGGCAUGAAUAAGGGUAACGUUCUCACAUGUUUCACUCACUAAUCUCUGACUUUAUUUUUUUAUUAGAAACCGACAAAAUUGGAUUUCUGGAAAGGGGUUCGAGCCCCGUGCCAGGAAGGGAUUUGUGCAUACAAGUAUCAGGUUUGUUCUUUUGCAAAAUGUCUAACAUAGCGGAGAAGAGAUCAUGGAAAGAGUUGUAUUUGGUGGAUGAUGGUCAAAAGGGUUGUGUAAAGUUGAAAUCAUUUUUCUUAGCAAAAAAAAGUUGAAAUCAUUUUGGUUGGGGAAAAGAAACACGAGGGAAAGAAGUUUUGUGUUAUGGUCCAAACUCCAAAGCUAUUGUAAUUUGUGGGUUAAUCUUACCCACAAAUUUUAAAAACUAGAAAAGAAACAAGGAUGAGAAUCUUAUUUUAUUGUAACUCAAAAAUAAUAAUAUUGGUGAAUAAUAAUUUUCUUUUGUUACCAAAUAGGAGCACCGACAAACAUGUCUUAUUAGCAAAAUGAUUUUGCAACAAUAAAAUUACUUUAUUUGUUACACUGCUUGGUCUACAACUGCACUCAGGGAUUUUUCUAAAGAAAUAUCUACACGCAUUUUGGUGAAUACCAUAGCCGUUACAUAAGAGGUGUAAAAUUGUGAAUUUGUAACAAAAAUAGAAAGCUAUUUCGACAUGAUAAUAACCCGAAAGUAUUGAUCUCACCAUCUGACGAAAAUAUCAUUACAUUCUCAUGCAAGAGUAUAUUGAUGGAGUGUGUAUUGCCUAACUGCUUAGAAACUACCUUUACUACAUUUUUUAUACAAGGCACUAAUCAUCUAUUGGAAAUUUUCUAGCUGAAUAUAUUAAUAAAAAGAUAACCGAUAAUUUAUUAGUUGUGUAAUUAGAAGAUAUAGGAAAUAAUAUAUACUUAAAGGAAAAUAUAAUAUUUUCAAAAGUCAACUACAUAAAUAUUGAAGACUUCAAAGUUCGAAUACAUUAUUCAAAAUUCAUAAGAAGAAUUCAAGAAUCAAAAAGGUGGCUUAUAUAAAAAAAGUUACUAAAAUUUAUGCAACAAACUAUUCCAAAUUAAUUUUUAUUUCUGUAAUAUAUGUAUAUAUAUAUAAUAUUUAGUAAAAAUUAAUCACAAAAUGAAAAUACUAAAAAUAUAUAAUUCUAAGCAUAAGAUUUUACAAAUUAAUUAAAACAAAAAUUUACUUUUAAUUUUAAAGAUAAAUAAGUGUGUAGCGCGGAGACGAACAUAGAUCUUAACUACGAGUACUUGGAGAAAUCUUAAUCUACGAGUACGAAAAAAAUUAAAUACAUCAUCUAAAUAAAAAAAUUAUAUCAUUUCAAGAAUCACAACAAUAUAAUUAUGUUAUUUUGGUUAACAACAACUAAUUCAGCUCUCAAUAUCAUAAAAUGUUAUAUAAACAAAGAUUAGAUGUAAAUAAUUUUUCACAAAAACAGAUACUUAUUCUCUUGAAACUAAAAAAUGUUGAUCUAAACUCUUAAUUACAUCAAAAUCCUGCGCGAAGCGCGGACUUACCCUAGUAUAAUAUAAAAAAUCAUACUAAGGAUAUUAAAUUUAAAAUUACUUGAUAAAAUGUACAAUUAAUAAAUUUUUUGAACAUGGUCUAAAAUUAAUUUGAGACAGCCUUAGCGUUAGCAUACCUAUUAUCAAUUUGUGAAGCUGCCACGUGUCUUUUAUAGUGUGAUUGCCUUUAUUAUAAUUUUUCUUCUUUCGUAAACAAGGGAUGAGUCAAACUUUAUGGCUUUAAAACUCAUUGUUGGUUCAUCUUUGAAGUAAUAAGAAAAUUCCAAAAAGACGUACAUUUAGGCUUGUUUUCACACUUUGUUGAUUGUCUAUUCCAAAUUCUGAGUGUAUACUUGCGUUCAAGUUUAACGGUUUUGAUUCCGUAUUAAAAUGGCAAUCCCUUUAUAUCGACACGGCGUUAAAAUUAUUUUAUAGAAUCUAUGUUUACAUGAGGAAGCAUGUUAUAUAGUUUCAAUUAUAUAUUAUAUAGUUUUGAACUCAUAUUUUCUGGUUAAUAAACCAUUUCACAUUUUUUUUUGGGUUUUCUGCAAAAAAACCCUCAAUGUGGUUUUUUUUUGCAAAUUAAUCCGCGAACUCAAAAAUCCACGGGUCAACCCUCCAAGUGCCAGUCAAACCGCAAUAUAACCCUCGGCCAUAUUUAUGUGUAUUUGACUGUGUAUAAUUUUAACAUUUUUUCAAUACUAGGUCGUUUUGGCGCUAUUUUUUUAAUGAAAAAAAUUUGUUGAACCCCACCUUCAUUGUGCAUUUACGCAAGCUCCCAUGUCCGAGAAAAACAAGGUCAUUUCGUUUUAGAAAUCUAUAUAAUUGCGUUUGUUAAGUAAACAAAUAUAUUUGUUGCCCGAGAUGGUUAUAUAGCAUGCACAUGGUAUUUAAGGUUCAAAUUUCAAACCAUGAGUUCAACAAAUUUUUUUCAUUAAAAAAUUAACGCCAAAACGACCUAGUAUUGAAAAAAAUGUUAAAAUUAUACACAGUCAAAUACACAUAAAUACGGCCGAGGGUUAUAUUGCGGUUUGACUGGCACUUGGAGGGUUGACCCGUGGGUUUUUGAGUUCGCGGAUUAAUUUGCAAAAAAAAACCACAUUGAGGGUUUUUUUGCAGAAAACCUUUUUUUCACUGAUAUUUUAUUAGAUAGAUUUAAACAUACACAUAAACCGUAAAGACAGGUUUACAACCCCACAACUAAAAAACUAGACAACGAUGCCCACUAAUGGCACAAACUACCACCCGAGACCAAAAGAAAAAAAUUAAAAGUCACCGACACGUGUUAAAUCAAGCCAAGGGAGAGAGACACGGGCUAUACGCGUCACCACCAUCUUCACCGUUUGACCACCGUCGCCGAAUCGACCAAAUCGAACCACCGCCGGAAUCCACCGGGAAACAGAACCACAACCCACGAUUCCACUCCAACAAGUUUCACUUCCUCAAGUUUCUCUUUUUUCCCUCUCAAAAUGCUUCUAUUUAUGGAAUCACAUGUUAUGCACUAUUUUAAUAUCAAAAUGUUUAUAUAUAUGGUGGCCAAAGAAAAAGAGUCCGUGUAUAUGCUUUGCAAAUCAAACGACACUAAUAGUCAAAACCUUUCUCUCUGGCGAUAGAACAUCGACCGCUGCUGAUUGAAGAAGACGACAGGUGGUCUCCGCCGGCCGGCGCGUGGUGGUUUGGUUAGCGCCACCGUCGGUCCGGUAAGUUUAGUUUGCUUAGUAUUUUGUAGAUCUGGUGUUUAAUCCGUCUUAACUGCGGCUCGGGGUAAAGUAGAAGGGAACGACUCGGACACCUCUUGCUUUGUCGGGGUCUUGUGCGGAUCCUUACGGUGGUAGGUGGUUGCAGCCCGUGUGGUUGGUGACAGCGGAGGUCUCUGCUGGUUCGUGGUUCAGAUCCUUUUUGCUUAAUUCGGGUUGGAGAUUCAUAAGGCCUGGGCUUUGUAGUGGUCUUUGCAGUGGUUUUAGGAUGGUGGUGUGGGUCCGACACUGGUGAAGAGAUACAAUUUCUGAUUGCUUGAAGAAUCUCUUGUUUGCGGUUCUUCGGUUAGGGUUUUGCUUUGUUAGUUCUUAUGGGGUUUGGGAUGUGGCUUGACCAGUGGUGGCUCUAGUCUUCGGUGGAGGUAGAAACAUCUUAUGGUUCUCAGAGGAGGUGCGUGUUUGGCUUGGAAGGAGAUAGAUGUAUAUCGGAGCGAUUGCUUCAUUGUGGGUCGAUUGUCGCCGUCUUGAUCGUGAUUGUCAUGGAUUUGGAGUGGUUAUUAUCCAGUUACCGGCUGCGUGAAUAAGACGUUUCCGGGAAACCUUUAUAGGCUUUGCCGUGGGGUGAUGGUGCGUAUGAGGCGCGGGGAGAGCACACUCAAGGUCCAAUGGAGAGACUUAGUUGGGAUUGAAGGGUGUUUACAGCGACGGUUAAGGAUUCUAACCUCUCUCGAUUCAGUUUAUAUGUUUGGUGAUGUUCGUGUGCGUCUAGUCUAUCUCGCUGCUCUGCUAAUUUUGUGUUAAUUGUUGAUGAGUUCUAUUUCGGUAAGCUCGUCUUUGAGCGCAAGGUGGAGCUCUCCUCUACUGAAGUUCUGUUUUACUCUACUGCCUCUUGACAUUUUUUUUUCUUCGUGUCUUUGUUAGUUUUUAUGGGUUUGUGUUGUAUCCAUCUUUUGGCUCCGAGUGGUACAUGUUACCUCGCCGGCUUAUGGCUCUGGAAGGAAUGUAUUCCUUGCCGGCUCUGGUUUGUAAGAAAUGAUGUUUUUGUGUUUAAUAUAAUCUACGGAUGAAAAAAAAAUAUAUAUAUGCAAAAAUAUAUGCUUUGCAAUAUUAUAUAUACAUUUGUGUCAGUGCCCUCAUGUGCACAUGUAUGCUUCAACUUUACACCACAAAAAAAAAACAAGGUUAUAAGAAUGUCGUGAUAUAUAGUUCUAAAACUUAUACAUAUUUUUUUGGAAAAUGUCGAGCGUUUCAGUCAAUCAUAUUCAUAACAAAAUGAGCUUGAGCUUGACCUUAGAGGUAUUUAUUAUAUUCAGUUUUGAAUACAAUUUUGAUAUCCAAUACCAAUGCUUCCCACGUGAGUAAGCUUAGCACAAAUCAGUAUAAUAUUGUUCUAUUAGAGCAUCCAUUAAUCAAAAACUCGUAGAAACACACGAAAUUUGGUAGAAAUUACUGUUUUUAUAGAUAAAAACGUGUAUAGUUAUAAUACAACUGUAAAUGAAGUCGUAUAAAAUAUAAUUGAUGUUUUUGAUGCUUAGAUUGAUUUUAUUAAAAAAAUGGUUGGAUUGGAUUCGUGUGGACGAUGCUUAUUUAAGUGCCAUAAACAAUUCAAGCAUUGCGUAAACAGACUAUGCAGAACAAUUAAACAAUCUAAUGGCACCAAAAGUUGAAUUUUCCACCAGAUGUCCUCACCAACCCUCUACAAUGGAAUGGAUUGUGACAUUUUCUUCAGUAGAAUAGGUAAUUAUUGAUCUCUUUUGUUUCUUAUGCAUGGUUUCAUGUACGUAUAGUGACUUGUUCACAUGAAUCAAGAGUUACCCGCAAUGUAGCUGCAACAUAGUUUUUCCUGUUAGGAGUAUAGGUUAGUUUCUUGUUUAAUAUUUCAUUUACCUUCACUGACUUGCUAAGGUUUUGCCUUCAUACCUUUAAUCUAACAAGUACUAGUAUCUGUUAGGGUAUAGCUUAGUUUCUUGUUUAAAGUUUCAUUGAGAUGAGAUUGCAACCGAGUUUUUCUUGUUGUCUAGCUAAAAAGUUGGACAAAGGCCAAACCUUUGUUGUGCUCGUUACCUAGAUUUCAGAAUUUAGAAUAUGUUCCUCAAGGAUGAAGAUCUUACGAAUCACUUGUUUUUUCUUUUUGUCGCGGUCAUAUACAUGCAAUUACUGAAAUUUUGUGGCUUAGUUUGGUGUUUCGGUUUCGUGGAUGUACUUGCUUUACUAUUGAACAAUGUGGGAGUGAGCUGUAGUCACUCUUUUUUCUUUCAGGCGGUGGCGAACUCUACAUCAGCUACUUUCUUGAGAGUUGUUGGUAGUGAACUGAUUCAGAAGGUUUUGGGAGAUGGUCCCAAGCUUGUGAGGGAGCUUUUCAGAGUUGCUGAUGACCUUUCACCAUCAAUCGUGAUCAUUGACGAGAUUGAUGCUGUUGGUACCAAGCGGUAAGUCAAACUAACUCACAAAUAUGAUCUAUACAAUCUAUUGUUGAUCAAAGAUAGUAACUGAUUAAAGCUUGAAAUGGAAACAUGUAUGAUGCUAACUCAGGAGGUGAGCGUGAGAUCCAAACAAACUAACGAUGCAAAGCUAAAGCCCAUGUGCUCCUUUCCAUUCUACCAAAACUAUCGCAUAGACUUACAUUGUCAACAUCUUUGUCAAAAUCUCGCAGCGUAUACACAAAAUUACAACAGACCACCGUAAACAACCAUUCGCAAAUGUUACUGUCCAAACCGGAACCAUUAGCGAACACGCUAAUGGAUAUGGGACAUGUUAUGCAUAACAAACGUACUAUACUCUAUAAAUCAAACAAAUUGUUUUCUAGAAAACUUGAUCCAACAACACAAUGUUAAUUGUUUUUAAGUUAGGAAAGAAUUGGACGAUGAUGAUCCUCGAGGAGGAAGGUAGGAAGAAGAGGAGGAGGUAGGAGACUAGGUGUAUUAUGUAAGAAACUACAAAAAACUUCAAAAAUGAAAAAUUAAAAUAAAAGAAAAAAUAAAAGUUAAUGACAACAGCUUCAAAUUGAAAGUUAAGUGUGUGUACUCCUUUCCAUUCUACCAAAACUAUCGCAUAGACUUACAUUGUCAACAUCUUUGUCAAAUUCUCACAGCGUAUACACAAAAUUACAACAGACCACCGUAAACAACCAUUCGCAAAUGUUACUGUCCAAACCGGAACCAUUAGCGAACACGCUAAUGGAUAUGGGACAUGUUAUGCAUAACAAACGUACUAUACUCUAUAAAUCAAACAAAUUGUUUUCUAGAAAACUUGAUCCAACAACACAAUGUUAAUUGUUUUUAAGUUAGGAAAGAAUUGGACGGUGAUGAUCCUCGAGGAGGAAGGUAGGAAGAAGAGGAGGAGGUAUCUGUUUCCUUUAAUUUUUUAUUUACAUAUUUAUAUAUUUUAUUACUUAGUUAGUAAGAUAACUAUACAAUUUCCUACAUUAAUUAGGAAUAUUACGUUUCUGAUAAGUAUAAAAUUUCUUGUUUCCAAAACAAAAUCUCUAACUAACGUGAAUAUAUAAAAUUGCAGGUGAAAGGAAUAUUUAAUCCAUUAUAUAAAAAUAUAUAGUAAUUUAUGUCAAUUAAUUUGUUUAUAAUUGUACGACUAUUCUAUAUACAACUAGGAUCGGCCCGCCCUACGGGCGGGAAGUUAUUAUAAAAAUUAUUUUACAUGAAUUUAUAUUAACUUAUGAAACAUUUAAAAUUAUUAUGUAUUAAAAAUAAUAUUAUAAACAAAAAAUAAUGGAAAUAAUUCUGAGAUCAUAUUGUUAUUGUUAAUAAAUAUUUUUGAUUUGAAUUAAAAUGACAACAACUUUCAUUAUUCUCUAUCGUUAAAUAAUACAAUAUUAACAAAAAUAAUUAAGAAAAUGUAAUAAUAGAAAUAUUCUUAUUAUUUCUAUUUCAAUUUGACAUAGUAAAAAUAUAAAGUUUAUACAAAUAAUACUAUAUUUAUUUUAAGAAGCUUCAAAUUUUUAAAAACAUUAACAUAAUUUUUUUUUCUAAAGAACCUACAGUCCAGUAAGUAAAGAGCCUUUGUAUUGUUGUCAGUUUGUCACCAUAUAAAUCCGGCUAAUCUGUAAUAAAACACACAAAUCAUUAUACAUAAAAGAUAAUGAAAAUCCAAUUCACACUCCCUAGAAGUUAGCUGAGUGUACCUGUCAAUCAGCUUCUAUGCUGUUAAUAUACUUUCUGAAUAAGUCACUGAUAAGCCAUAUCUGCGAGAAAAUGAACUCGUACUGCUGAUGUAUCUUUGGCUCCCACACAUUUAUAGUUACUUUAGUUCCAUAGUAUUUAUUUUUCCCCUUCCACAUAAGAUAUAGCAUUCUACAGUUCCAAAAACCAAAACAAAUAACACAUCUCAGAUUAAGAAACCAGAAAAAAACUUUUAACUCUUCUGAUGACCACUUUGGUUCAUGAGGACAUGUUCCUCAGAUUUAGGAAACGGAAAACUUUUAUACUUUUUCAUGCCAUAUUUUUUGUUUGAACUUUCUCUCAAGACAACAUCUUCCUCUGUCAUGGUUCCUUCAGCACAUUUACCAUAUCGAUGACAUAACUGAGGGAUAUGUAUGUCCUUCUAUUUUUGACUUCGUAAAGACACUUUGUUGUUAUCAAAGAGUCCCUCAUUAGGAUACAAUUUUUCAAUUUUUUUUUUUGAGAUUAUACAACCUUCUUCGUAAAGACAAAUUAUUUCAAUACUAAGAUAUGUUUUAAAAACAAAAUAUCGUAUUCAGUUGUAGGGCCUGAGUAACAAAUUAAAAAUGUGCUUAGCAGAACAUAUAAAACAAAAAACGUUGAUCAUCAGGCAGAGGAGUGUCUACCUCUGGAGAAUCAAAUGGCAUUCCAAGGAGGAUAAAGACGUCUGCAAGACCUUGUACACCAAUACCAAUAGGCCUAUGACGCAUGUUCGAAGUUUUUGCACUCUCUAGAGGAUAGUAAUUUGCGUCUAUUAUCCUAUCGAGAUCAUUAGUAACACUAGCAGUUACCUGGCCACACAAAAGUAACAACGAUAAAUUCACAUCAGAAAGAUCCGUUGAGAAUCUGAUUUUAAGGUCAAAUGAAGCAAAUAGGAAGGUGUUAGCAUCUGUCUGACCUUGGCUAAGCUGUGAAAAUCAAAGUAACGAUUCUUUGAGCCCAGGCUGCCGGCAGGCUCAGAUGGAUGAGAGUCCAUUGGAACAUCCUGUUGUGAGCAAGAAGAAUGUUAGUAAGAGAGCGUAAUAAUAAAAAGGAAACUUAGAGAACCCGCAAAAAAACAAUUUUCUUAUAACUCACUUUAUCCCUAACAAAUCUGGGCAAAACAAUGGAUGCAAGAUUGCACACAGCUGUUUCUGUUGGACUGCUGUAUUGAAUAACUCCACUGCAUAAGCCGGAGGAGGAGUUUAUGGUACCAAGAUUUUGCUGAUUGCUUUUUCUGUUGCAUGAGUCCUAAAAUAGAAACAUUAAGAACCAGUUGGCUAUAUUUAUGGCUAAUAACAUAUAUAUGCACAGAAUCAUAUAUAUAUAUAUAUAUAUAUAUAUAUGUUACUUCAUUAAAAAAAAGUUCACAAAAAACAGUGUUUACUUCAUUAAAACAUUUUAUUUAUGUCAAUCUAUUUUUUUAGAUUAUUACAAAGUAUAAGUACAUAUUUAAGAUGAAGAACUCAGAUAAUGCAAUAAAUAAAACUAAUCAAAUUUAGUUUAACUAAAAUCAGAAGUAUUAUACUUCAAUUUGAAGAAAUAUGUAACUUAGUAUAUCCCAUAAAAUGAGCAAUUUAAAACAAUCCGGAUUUUUAUUCCCAAAAUCAAAAGUCUAAAUGUAAAGAAAAACAUUAAUUGAAAAUUUUACUCCGUCCAAAAAAUACUAUGGUAAAAUUUGAAAAAAAAACGCAAUACGAUAUAUCCAAAUAUUAACCAAACUAACUAUAUAAUACAUAUCUGAAUUACAUGUCUAACUAAAUUACAAAGUAACUAAAAUUAAAAUAUUAAUAUUAAUAUUUUUAUAUUAUAUUAAUUUUAAAAUAAGCACGGGAAAGUCACCUAGUAUAUAUAUAUAUAUAGCAUGUUCAAAGUAUUGUAUAGUCACACAAUUAAUUUUUGGAGUUAUUAUGUACAGUAUAUGCAAUCCAAUUCCUCUUUUAAAUCUAUUUUUCCAAUAAAUUAUUCUUAGCAAAAUAAUAAAAGGAAAGGUUUUUGUUUAUUUACUUUUUUAUUUGUGAAAAAAAGACAAUGACCAUAUAUAUAUAAAGGAUAUAUGGUCAUCACCUAUGUUUACAGAGAAAAAAAAUUAAGAGACAAUGAUGACGAUGUUGCCAGAUAAUUUAGUAGAGGAGAUACUAAGUCGUGUUCCGGCUACAUGUCUGAAACGUUUACGAUCAACAUGCAAACUAUGGAACGGUAUAUUCAACGAUAGGAGAUUCGCAAAAAAUCACUUUGAUAAAGCCCCAAAGCAAUAUAUGGUUCUCAAGCUAACGGAGGAAUAUAGGCUUUGCUCAUUCCGUGGUGAGCUUGGACUAAUAGAUCCGGUUUGUUCAGCUCAAUUCAGGAUAUCUCAUGUCUUUCACUGCGAUGGCUUGUUGUUAUGCACCAGCGAAAGCUACAAUAGAAUCGUGGUUUGGAACCCGUGUACUGGUCAAACCAAGUGGAUCACCGAUCCCAGCGAUCGUGUCAUGUUUUGGGUAACUUUUACUCUUGGAAGGUGCUACCAAGAAAAUAAUUAUAGCUAUAAAUUAUUGAGACACGUGCCUUGUUACGAGAAGCUAAUAUUUGAAAUCUGUGAGAUCAACUCCGAUUCAUGCUGGAGGAUUCCUCAUGAUGUCACUCCAGACUGCUUAUUACAGUUUGCUCAUUACAGCGUGUAUUUGAAAGGAAAGACCUACUGGUGUGCUUCGGAUUCAAAAGAGUUUGAUGCGUGCAUGCAUUUACUGAGCUUUGAUUAUACAACAGAGAGAUUUGGACGUCUGUGCCUUCCUGGCCCGUAUUGUAGACUCCAUACUGUGUCUCUAUCGGUUGUUAGAGAAGAGAAGCUUUCCGUGUUAUUACGACCCCAUGAUAGACUUGGAAACGAGAUAGAGAUAUGGAUAAGCAGUCCUAUUGAUGAUCCCAAAGCUGUGUCGUGGAGCAAGAUCUUCGCUUUGGAUGAUCCUCGUCUUGGCUAUUGCACCCAGACAAGUUUCUUGGUGGAUGAUGAGAAGAAAAUCGCUACAUGUCUUGAAAGGUGGAUACGUAGCCGUGACAAUGCCAAGGCCAAGCUCUACUACGUCUUGCAAUACAUUGUUGGGGAGGAUAAUGAAGUCACGCUACUGGAUUUUGGAGCAUCUUCUAAUUUGCAUUUACAUUCGCAACUUUUGUUUAAUUAUGUACCAAGUCUGGUUCAUAUCCAGUGACACCUAGAGGGCAAAAAGAAACAUUAUUAUUUCCAGCUACUUACAAAUAUUCCAGUGCCUAAGACUUUUAUUUGUUCAAAUUUUACGAUUUUUUUAUAAAUAAAAAUGUUUUACGCAUUCGUAGAUUACUUCAAAAUACUCGAUUCUACUACAGGCAGACUGCUUCGAAACGUUUUACUACAAAAUAUUAUAUAGUUAGCCUUCUAAGUGGUUAAUCAUUUAAAUCAUUGUACAUCCUAGUUUGAAAUUUGGUUAACUUCAGUUUAGUAUACCUCAUCGUAGCUGUUUACUGCAUAUUUCUUAUCCUAUCUUUUACUUGUCUCUGGCUUUGUCUGAAUUGUCUUAUUUUGUAAUGUAGGGACUUGCCUUGCAACAAACUCAGUGGCCUUGUUUGUUUGUUUUUAUGUUUUCUUUGUGGUGGUCCGGGAGACUUGUGUGAUAUUUAUAUUUUGGGUGUUUUUUUUUUGAAACACAACUUUCAUUAAACAUAACUUCAAGAACUACAAAGAUAAGAGGGAAUUAAGCAUCCUCUUGGAAACAAACAAUAAACUACAAGGAUAAAUGAAAUCAAUCAGGAUAAAUCUUCAUAUGAAAAUGACAGCGGACUCAAGACAACGCUUGAAUGCGUCUGGAGAGCCUUCACGACAAAGUCGGACAGCUGAGAAAUAGUCACAAGUGACGUUGAGGAACAACCCCCACCAACGAGAAGAACCGAAGUAAUCUCAAUUGCACCUUCUGGCCCCGUACAGACCGUUACACAAGGUGACAAACCGGUGAGUAAGUUGAAACAAAAGCUCGGGAUAGAACCCAAGAGGACAUCUCCAUUCAUUGAAGGAAGGUAUGGUGGUGAAAUACUCUCCUCAUUAGAGAAGGAUAAUGACAAAUUCUUCCUAAAGAAGUGAUAUUGCAAUAAUCUCAGAUUAUAAACCCCUAUGAACCCAUGGGAAAUCUUCAAAUUAUCCAAAGAAUUCAGACCAGCAGCUAAAUAUCUCACGUCUUGAACUGAUAGUCUGGCCUUUAGAAUCUUGAUAAUUUGAAUAUAAGCUUCAGCAAAAGAGUUGGGCCAGGCACACUUAGGUAUAGAUCUCAGUUCAGAAGCAAAGGCAUACACCAGGAAGUUACGAGACGUCAUGGAUCUAGGUUGAAGGUCGGAGGUGGUACCUAUGACGUCGACUGAGAGAUAUAUGGCACUCGCCGGCGGAGAGACAGGUUCACUGAGGUAAGCUGGGUUACCAUCGAAGCCGGAUGGCGAAAGAGACGGUUGGUGAAGGUGAGCUGAGCCGCGGUUGAGAAGAGGGCACGCAGGAGAAGAUGACAACACACUUAGAGGCGAGGAAAGUGAAGAGCUUCGGAUUAGAUCCGGAUUUAGGCUUGAGUUGUCGUAGAUUCUGGCGUCGUAUAAGUGAAAAGGAGCAACACCCAGUUGAUUUGUUGUCUCACUUCCCAGUGGCGGAAAACGAGAGUUUGUACGUUGAGAUCUGAACUCCGUGAGCAAUAGAAGAGCAAGGAUAAAGUCGACGGUGUGGCUUGUCCGUCGACAGCCAGAGAGAGGUUCACGGGAACCAGAGUACAACGAUGGUGAGAGAACCCUCUCGACUCAUCGUUGGGGAGGAGACCCACCAAAGAGGAGGCGCCGUCAGGAGAACUGCAGUGAAGACGACGAACCAAAGCUCUUGUCUCCAUCGAAGGCUCCGCCGGGGACCCCUUUCCCCUGUUAACAAAACGCUACGACUCCGGAGCACACGAGAGAUGAAACGAGAAACGAGCAGAGAGAUGAAGACAGAGGACGACAUUGUCGGGAGUGGCCAACGCCGGCGAGAAAACGCGUCGCCGGCGCAGAGCGCAUUGAAUCACAGAGUACCUCGAGCCCCGUGUCUGGGAGCGUUAGAGCGUUAGGGUUUUUCACUAGUCAGUCUAUAUUUUGAGUGUUUAUUAUGUCAAAUAUAUCCUUUUUAUUAUAUGAAUUGUAAUUUGUGGGUGGAUAUGUAUUUUACUAAAUGCGCUGAUGAAUUUACCUACUUAUCAUCAAUAUCAAUAGAUUGUAUUUUUAAAUAAUUUUCUU
rnacentral:lncRNA from 1 species